rnacentral:rRNA from 1 species
CAGCCGCCACGGUAAUACGUAUGUCGCGAGCGUUAUCCGGAAUUAUUGGGCAUAAAGGGCAUCUAGGCGGCCUGACAAGUCAGGGGUGAAAACCUGCGGCUCAACCGCAGGCCUGCCUUUGAAACUGUGAGGCUGGAGUACCGGAGAGGUGGACGGAACUGCACGAGUAGAGGUGAAAUUCGUAGAUAUGUGCAGGAAUGCCGAUGAUGAAGAUAGUUCACUGGACGGUAACUGACGCUGAAGUGCGAAAGCCGGGGGAGCGAACAGGAUUAGAUACCCCCGUAGUCCCUGUCUCUUAUAC